UACGUAGGGUGCGAGCGUUGUCCGGAAUUAUUGGGCGUAAAGGGCUCGUAGGCGGUCUGUCGCGUCGGGAGUGAAAACUCAGGGCUUAACCCUGAGCCUGCUUCCGAUACGGGCAGACUAGAGGUAUGCAGGGGAGAACGGAAUUCCUGGUGUAGCGGUGGAAUGCGCAGAUAUCAGGAGGAACACCGGUGGCGAAGGCGGUUCUCUGGGCAUUACCUGACGCUGAGGUGCGAAAGCCAGGGGAGCAAACGGG
rnacentral:rRNA from 1 species